rnacentral:rRNA from 1 species
UACGAAGGGGGCUAGCGUUGCUCGGAAUCACUGGGCGUAAAGCGCACGUAGGCGGAUUGCUAAGUCAGGGGUGAAAUCCUGGAGCUCAACUCCAGAACUGCCUUUGAUACUGGCGAUCUUGAGUCCGGGAGAGGUGAGUGGAACUGCGAGUGUAGAGGUGAAAUUCGUAGAUAUUCGCAAGACACCAGUGGCGAAGGCGGCUCACUGGCCCGGUACUGACGCUGAGG